CUUGGCACUUAAUUCAUACAUAAUAUUCAUAAGGCCCUACAUUGGCCAUCCAAGACGGGUUCGUACUUAACAAUCCUUACACAAACUCAAAUGGCACAUCGUGCCUACAAAUACAUUUAAUACCAAAUGUGAAGUGCAAGCUCAUGACAGACUCAAUGAAGUGGACAUGUCGGAUGGGAACAUACCAAAUGCCAAAAUCGGUCUGUCAUUGGAUAACCUUUGCCACACAGCCUUGUGUUCUAUUUAUCUGCAAAUGGUACAACAAAUGGGUGAGUCAUCUAAUACUCAAUGAGAGGUGCAAACAAAGAAAAUCAUAUACAAACAUAUAAAAGAAUAUUUCACUAUUAGUACAUCUAAAUGUUCUAACAAACAUCUCCAAAGUUAAAGGUAUAUCAUGAUCCCUAAAGUCUCCAAAUAUCAUCAUUCAAGUCAUAUGACUUAUCCUUAAAGUUGUUCAAAGUCAUUCUUCACGGCACACUCUAGUCGUCAAAGCACCACAUCAGAUUCAGAUCAAAUUUAUCGAAGCCAAUCUAUGGCUAUCUCAUGUCAUACACAAAUCGAAUUUCAAUCAUAAGGUGGUCCUUCCCCUAGACAUCACUAAAUCAGGUGGCCAAUAGAUGAAGAAUUCAAGUCAUGCUCAAGGCAAAGCUGCUGGUGGAGAAACAAAUCAUGGAAAUGCCAAAGCAAUGAGAGGAGAAUCAGAGUCAUCGACCGGAGCAAUCUCCUGAUGGUUGACAUAACCCAGAGUAUUCUCAAACGGGUGGCUUCAAAGCACUAUAAACGGGACUAAUAGCACCGUCCCUACUUAUCAUCCCUAUAGGCACAAUAUGUAAAACUCCACUUAAUCCUCAAAUCAAAUUUACAUUUAGAAAUCAUCCAUUGGGUGGUAUAUAUAUCCACAAACGAGGCUAUCAUGACCUUAAAUCUAUAAGCUCAGUAUGGUUCUAAGUGCCCUUAAAUAUUUAAGGCAUCAAAUGCUCAAAUCCUCUGAAAAUCAUUUGUCUAGGAUAAUCUACUCCUAGACAUUUGUCAAAUACUCUAGACUUCUAAGUCUAGGCUCACACAACAUAGGCCAUUAUGCGACUUGCUCUAAGGCACACAAUCACAACACAUAAUCACAUACAUAUAUAUAAUUUGUUCUCUAACCUAGGCAUGUUCAUCGAGGCCUACAUACAUAUUCUAGUACCAUGACAGUGCAUCAAUCAUGCAUCAUGCAUCACAAGCAUAAUAAUUAAACCCACUCAAAGUGACAAUUGUAGGUGCUCCCAUGCCAAGCUCAACUUCAGCUUCCAAUUGUCCUAUAGCUCGCCAACGAGUCAAAUAACUCUGUUUUUGUUGGGGAUUUAAAUCAUGCUAAGACAACUCAUACGCAACGAAAUAUUAUUAAAUUUUAAUCUCUAAAGCCAUGGAUCACUUUAAUUGAAACUAAUAUAGAAAAACCACAAAAGAAAUUUUGACAUACUUGAAAGUCUACUUUCUUUCGUGGAGUCCUCCUUGGCUUUUCGUUUUAACUUUUGUAUACCAACUAGGACUUAUCAAACCACAACAGCACAGUUGUCCUACUUCUAAUGGUGAUCCACACAGUGAUUUGAUGAAAUCUCUUCACUAAGAGUGUGUGAAUCCCUGAGCCGAAGUUUGUGAUAGCAAACUCUCAACUUUGAGCUCCCUUGUGUUUCUUUCUUUUGGCUAUGUCCUAUCUCAACACAUGGAAAAUAAAAUAGAACUCUUCUAUAUAUUCAAGAGGCGGCUAAGGGAUUCUUUUAUAGAGUUAAUUGACCUACUUUAUAACCAAUAAGGAUUAUAAAAUGUCUUAGGCUAAUUGGGCCUUUAUUUAGUACUCCAUCAAAUCAUAUUUCAUUUAGCGUAAUACUUAAUUGGAUUAAUCCUCUAUAAAAUCAAUUAGAUCACAUCCGAUUGAACUCAAAUUAAUUUUGACAAUUCACCUUAUGUGUGUGACCCAGUAGGUUCCCAACAUGUUGGCAAUAAAUAUAAAUUAAUACAAUUAAGAAUUUAUAUUUAUAUUUAUAGAUCAUGAGCGGCAUCUAGCAAUACAUCAUGACCACCCAAAUGUCAAGAGAGUCAAUAUGAUUUGACUAACCUUUUAGUGUACAGUAUCUCAAUGUAAUUCGAUCUUUUCAUCAUAUAUCCUAGAUAAAUAGAAAGCUUGUCUCAGUGUCUACUUUUUAACUUAUCCAUAUUAGUCCUACAGUUUCUAUAUUAACCUAUCAAGAUUGCCUUGGCCAAGGACUUUCAAUCAAUAUAAGCCAGAAGCAAAUGAGAUAUGUCCCCUUCAAAUCACUUGGGUUGAUGAAUCCUCUCUAGACUACUCAUUCAUCUUCGCAUGCUUCAUGCCAUACCCAAAAGCACCUUGUUUAAGCAUUUGGCCAUCUUCAGUGUAGUACCCCGUACUUUGAUAUGGUGGUUAAUAAAGCUUACGGAUGCCAAUUGAGGUUAAUUACCAAGUAAAAAAGGUGAUUUAGAAGUGAACUUGUGAAACCUCGACCUCUAUAAACCCGUAACUAGCAGUAGAUGCAAUAACACGGAUUAGGGGCAAUUUCGUCAUUUCUCAUGGUGAGCUCUUGGAAGUAGCUCUCAAAUGUUAUUAAGGUCUAAAUAGACCUAAGGAAUAAAUGAAUGAUGGUAAAAAUGAAUGAAAAAGAUAGAAAUACCGAUAAUUUUCAUGGUAGGGGUAAAAUGAUCAUUUUGCAUCUCGAGUCAAAAUUUUUAAGUUUUCGUGAACUCGAGUAUUUCUAGACUCUUAUGGACCUUGUCUCAGUAUCAAAGAAGUAAAAAGAUUGUAUAAAGGCAGUAGAAAGACAAAAUGACCUUGUUAAGGGCAUUUUGGUAAUUACGUGAGAAAAUGGACAAACAUAAGGCAUAAAUAUCUAAGUUUCUAGCAAGUUCUUCAAAUUUCCAGCAACUUCUUCUUCUUCUUCUUCUUCCUUUCUCACAUUUUCUUACCUUCCAUGUGUGAGACCUCGACCUUUAUAGGCUCGUAACUAGGCAUAAAGGCAAUAACACGAGCUAAGGGUAGUUUCGUCACUUCCUUAGUAAGCCCCUAAAAGUAAAUUUUAAACAAUAUGAAGGCCUAAGUAGGCCUAAGGCAUAAAUGAAUGAUGAAAAUAUGGGUAAAAUGACGAAGGAAAUCAAAAUGAUGAUGAUUUCCACAAUAGGGGCAAAAUGGUCAUUUUUCACCUCGAGUCAAAAAUUUUAAGUUUUCAUGACCCUGAGCAUUUCUAGACCAUUAUGGACUUUGUUUUAGUGUCAAAAGAGUAAAAAGAUUGUAUAAAGGAUUAGAGGAGAACAAGCUAACUUGUUGAGGGCGUUUUGGUAAUUUAAGUGGAGUGGAUAAGCUUGAGUUAUAAAUAUCAUCUUCCAGCAGCUUCUUCUCCCAUUUUACAACAGCUUCUUCUUCUUCUUCCUUCUUCUCUUUCACAUUGCUUUCAUCCUCCAUGGAAGCUUGAUAUGAAAGCUCCUAACCUUCCUCAAAAUAGCUCAAAUUUUCAAGCUUUUGUGCACUUUUGCAUAGAACCCUUGUACUCUUUCACUUUCUCACUUUAAAACCCUUGAAAAAUCCUACUUCCAUAUUCUCUCUCACUAGCUAGGUGUUUAGAGAGAGAAAGAGGGAGCUUUUAUAAUAGCUUGGAGAAUUAUUGGAAAAAAUUUUAAUUUUACAAAGUUAUCAAGGUGAGUAGUAAAUUAGAGUUGAUUUUUAGUGUUGAGAAUGAUUAAUGUUUAAACUUGUGGGUGUUUUGGUAGUUGAAGUUGUUCAUUCACUUUAGAGUGAUUAGGAUAGUGAACAUAGAUAGCCAUUUUAAUGGCAAUUGGAAGCUAGCUAAGAGAAAACUUUUAGAAUUUAUAAGUAUGUGAAUUGACUUAAUUGUGAUGCUAAUGUGAUGAUUAGGUUCCAAUGAAGCCCCACCGUCCCAUUUGGACCAUUAGGGAAGUUAUAGUCGACUAAAGGUUCAACAAAAUACUGGUGAGUGAACUUGCAUUUCAAAAUCAUUUUGGGAGAUAUAAUUGUAUUUGUAUGAAACGUUGGAAUAAUUUAUUCCAACUUUUCUUUAAAAAUGUGUGCCGGGGAACAAGCCCUUGAUAAAUUGUUUUGAUGUUGUGAAAAUGUGAAAUGUGUAAAAGGACAAACCUAUGUGCUCCUAUAUCAUGUUGAUAUAUAUAUAUAUAUAUAUAUAUAUAUAUAUAUAUAUAUAUAUACGAAUAUAUGUUGUGCAUUGAGGAAUAACAUUGUGUAAUGAUAUUGACCGGCUAUGUGCGAGUGGGAGUGUGCAUAAGCCGAUGCUGACCAGACGAUGUGUUAGUGGGAGUACGCAUAAGCCGAUGAUGACCUAGCCAUGUGCUAGUGGGGAGUGCAUAUGAGCUGAUGAUGAUGGGAGGGUGUGCAUGAUGAUGGAUAUAUGUAUAUAUAUAUAUAUAUACAUACAUAGAUAUGUGUGUUAUAGAAAGUUCAUGAGUAUGGUAUAUGGUUUUGUACAUGUGAAUCUUGCAUGUUGAUCUUUAGAAAAAAUUUCUAAAAUAUGUUCAUGUUGAUUUUGUCAUUUCAGCAGGAUGGCCUUUUUCUUGAGAGAAUGGAAACUUUUCUUUGAUGCUCUAUUUCUCGCUGAUUCUGGCUGCAACGAGAAACUAUCGAGUUUGAGGGGUCUGCCUGACUUGAUUCUUACUGCAGCGAGAAAAGUUUUGGAGCUUCUUGCUACAACAAGAUUCAAUCUCGCUGCAACGAGAAACAUUCUGUUUUUGCCACUUUAAUCUCGCUGCAGCGAGAAAGAAUCUCGUUGCAGCGAGAAACUUUCUGUCCAUUGUGCUAUCUUGCUGGUUUUGCCAUAUUUUCCUAUUUCAAUUGCACCAUAACUGAUCAUGGACUCCCAACAUUUAGGGGUUUAUUAAAUUAAGUUUGAAAUGAGGAAUUUUAGAGAGAAAGCCUCAGCCAGUUGAGAAACCCUCGUUCAGCUAAUAACUUGAGUCCAAUAUCAAUGCAGCGAGCAUGUCUCUCUGCUGUAGUGAGGACCCGUCAUUUACUUGACUUGAAUUUCAUAAAUGCUAUUAAAGUUUUCACUCUUCAAAACCUUUGUUGUGCAUGGACCCUUUUCAUCAAGUGAUUUACUCAUUUGGGGUUUACAUGAGGGGUUUUAAUAAGAACUAAACUAAAAUGCAUUGUUUUAAAGAUAAAUGCAUCAUGAUUUCUUUAAGUCUUCCUUAUUGUUUGCUUGUUCCUUUCCUUUGUUCACUCACUGGGUUUAUACUCACCGUUUUCAAAUUCAUGUUUUUAGAUCAGGAGGCAGUCGGUAACUAGGUCGAUGAGUCCUCGUAAAUUUGACUCUUGGUAGGUGUCUCGGCAUUCAGUAGCUAUACUUUCGCCCCAGUCUCUCCGCUGGCAAUCAAGUACUCUUUUGUUGUGUAUGGACAAACCCCAUGUAAAUUAUUAAGACAUGUUUUAGACAAUACAUGUAUAUUUGAUUGGUAAUGCCACUACAAGUUGGCAAUGCUUAGUAUUAAUUUGAUUCGAAGUUAUGAAAUGUGACUUAGCAACUUUUGAUGGAAUGAUGAACAGGUUAUAUUAAAAGGCUUGCUUGGGCUUAGUGGACUAUGUCCAUUGGGCCCAUGUGCCUGUCAUGGCCUGAAAUUUGGGUCGUGACACCAUUGGAGCUUGCUUUGAAACCUCCAUAGAUUUUCUCAAGUUAGCCUCAAUUUUCAUGCUUUUAUGCACCUUUUCGCAAAGUCCUCUACGCUCUCUUACUCUUUCACCUUUAAACCCUCAAAAGCCUUUCCUUAAUACUUUCUCUCACUAGUUGGACGUUCUAGAGAGAGAAAGAGAGAUUUUUCACAAGAAUUCAAAAGCUUUUGAAAAGGACUUCAAUUACAAACUACCAAGGUGAGUAAUGAAACUGAGUUGAUUUUUUUUUAGUUGUUGAGAAUGGCUAGUGGCUAGAAUUGUGACUGUUUUGUAGUUGAGGUGGUUUAUUCAUUUUAGUGUGACUAGAAUGGUGAAAAUAGAUAGCCACUUGAUGGUAGUUGGAAGCUAACUAGGAAUAACUAGUAGAGCAUGAUUUAGGAGAUAGCUUUUCGAAAUAUGGUUAUGUGAAUUGAGUUGAUUUGUGAUGCUAUUGUGUGUGAUAGGUCCCAACGAGACCGCACAUCUCCAUUCGGACCAUUAGUGGGAGUUGGAGUCCAUUUAAGAAUCAACAAAGACACUAUGAGUGAACUUGCAUUGAAAAUAUUUUGGACAAUGUAUUGGUAUUUGGACGAAGCGUGUGAAUGAUUUUUAUUUGAUUGUUCUUUAAAGAUUAUGCAUGGGAACAAGCCUUUAUUAAAAUGUUUUACAUUAUGAGUGUGCAAUAUGAUGAAUCCUUGUGCCUUAUAUGAUGUUGAUAUAAAUAUAUAUGUUGCGUAUUGAUAGUUAAUAUGUGUAACAAAUAUAACCGUGCGUGUGUGCGAUGUAGGGAUGCACAUGCAGGUGAUGACGAGGUGCGAAAGUGUGGAUAGUGAUGUUGAUGUGUGCGAGUAGGGAGUGCACACGAUGAUGUUGAUGUGUGCGAGUAGGGAUUGCGCAAUGAUGUUGAUGUGUACGAGUAGGGAGUGCACACGAUGAUGUUGAAGUGUGCAAGCAGGGAGUGCACAAGAUGAUAUUGCCUUGUGCGUGUAAGAAGUGCACAUUGGCUGAGUGAGGUGGUGGUAUUCGUGUUUAUAUAUGUAUAUGUACAUGUGUAAGAGAAAGUUAUGAAUAUAGUAGGUGGAUGUAAUGUAUGUGAAAUCUUGCAUGUUGAACCUUGAAAUCUUGCUAAUUAUCUUCAAAUUGAAUUGUAAUGCAGCGAGAAACUCUUGGGUUCUUGCCUCUCGAAUCUCUCUGCAGUGAGAAUCCACUCUCACUGCAGCGAGAAACCUUCUGCCUUGUUACUACCUUGCUUGAUUUCUGCCAUAUUUUCUACUUCUUUAACCUCACUGUUGAUCAUGGAUUUUCAACAUCAAGGGAUUAGUUAAUCAAGUUUGAAAUGAGGGGUUUUAAUAAGAAUUAAACUAAAUUGCAUUGUUUUUGAAACUAAGUGCAUCAUGAUUUUUAAACUUUCCUUAUCAUCACUUGUUCCCUUCCUAUGUUCACUCACUGGGUUUAUGCUCACGUUUUUAAACUUCAUGUUUUAGGUUUCUGAGAAAAAGGUGAUUGGAUCCUUAGAUGAGGUUAUCCUCCCUAUCCAUUGUCGGUAGGUUUGCCAUGAUACUAAGUGUUACCACCCACUCCCAGAGUCACUUCGCUGACAUUCAGAGUCUUUGAAUGUGUACAUGUAAACUGGAUGUGAUUUGUUAAAAAUCGUUUGGCAAACUUUUUAUGUAUAUUAAGAUUGAUGAAUACCAUUAUGAAUAUAUACUUGGAUUUUAUGAAUCGAUUUCAAUGAAGUUAUUAUUUGAACAUUAUGAUUUAUGGAACUUAAAAGGGAAUAUGGAUGAUAAAGGGGCUCACGUACAGGUUCAUAUGGGAAUGCUUGCUUGGGCUUAGUGGGCUAUGCCCAUUAGGCCCAUGUGCCGGUCAUGGCCCAAAAAUUGGGCUGUUACAAUGUUGGUAUCAGAGCUCUAGGUUUAGUCUAGUCCUAGGGAUUCUCGUGUCAGUUAAUGGAGUUGUCAGAGUUAAUGUAGAGUCUUGUUUGUUAUUUGUGAUUGCAGCACAAGUCAUUGAUAGGAGGCUACAUAAACUCCUGUUCCUAGUAACCUACCUUUUUGCUAACCUCAUGUAAAGGUCAUAAGUGGUGCCGUCAUUCAGGUUUGAGAUGUCACCCGAGACACGAGUUGUUGUUGGAAGAUUUUAAGUAAAUGUUCCUAAUAAAAGUUUAGUGUGAUGGUAUAUCCCUUCGAUUAAGGAUGGGGGAAAGUGGAGUUGGAUUAGUACAUCCAUGAUAACUUGUUCAUUUGGUGGAGUUAAAAAAUUUGAGCCCAAGAUUGUCAAUGGGAAGAAAAUUUGAUGACUAUGAAUUGUAUUUGGGGUCAAUAUAGAGGAGCAUGUGUGAUAAUGGUAAUAAGGGGCGUACUUUGACUGGAAUGACUAGUGGUUGCUGUAAAUGAGGUGUGGUCAUCAAGAAAAAGUCUAGUAAACCAAACUUGUCACGACCGGUACUCCCCUCGAGCCCAUGACAACCGCCGCGACAUCCCGAUAGAUAUUCAUUGCUCGGAAUGCCAACCGAAACCUCGCAAGGGUUUAAUAUCAGUUUCUCAUUUCCCCUGUGUGUAACUGUUGCCAAAUAUCAUGUUCUAAAGGAUUUUAAGCUAUUUCUAACUUAAAUCAAUAAAAAAAUGAUUUCUGUUUCACAGGGGCAUUUUGGUCAUUUUUCCUUAAAAUCUCGAAACCAGCCAAAAAUAUAGUAUGCGAAUGGAAAACACAUAUUUCAUAAUAAAAAAUAAGUUUAGAUGACUAAAACAUUCAUUUAAAGCGAAACUAUAACUAUUUGAAUAUAAUAAAAAUAUUCAAUAAAAUAUUCUAUUUUCUUAUAAAACAAUAUUUAUAGAGUUCCCAGUAAAUAAUUUUUGUAGCGUAAAAGCUAAAUAAAUUCAUACAUAUUGUAAUACAGAUAACCAAAGCAUAAGAUUUAAUUUACAAUGACACAUGAGCCCACGAACGACCAAAAGUAUCAAAAGCGGUAAACCUACAGUUUUUGAUGAUGCAAGUCUAACUGUAACCCUUAUCAAUGUGAGCUAUCUACCAACUAUCCUGAGCCUAAAAUGGGUGGAAAUGAGGGUGGUGAGAUUAUAUAAUCCUAGUGAGUAAACAAAUACCAUCUAAAAUAUCUAACACUGAGUAAAUGGAGACAAAUAAAAUAGUUUAACAUACUGUAAUUCAUCACAUUUCAAGCAAAUAAAAUCAAUUCAUAUAAAUCGAGUAAUCAACAUGGCUUAUGAAUUUUUUAAAACUUUGGUUCGUGCCAAAAUCAUUCUCAUACUCAGUUAUCAGGGAUACCUUGACUGAGGGUUAUCCCAACCGAGUCCGCCAAGGCUGUUAAAAAGUUAUGUACGCAUAAAUCAUGUUUUUAUUUUAAAACAUAGCCGUUCCUUGGCAUUGGCUGAGUUCACCCUCACGUGGUGGUUUGGCGUGAAGUGAACUCUAAAGUGUUAACCUUAGGAGUUAUCCAUCCGCGCCUCUCAUACUGAGGUAUGAAUAUAAUAAAGUUACCGUGCCCCCUCUAAUAGGCUGGUCCACGGAACCUGUCCACUGCAAUGACUAAUCAAUAACCCACCAAUUCAAUAAAAUUUAACAGCAUGACAUGGCAAUUUUAUCAUUAUCCAGCCUAUCAAGGCAAACAACAGUUUAUAAAUUUUCAACACAAAUACCAAUUCAACCAUUCAUGCCAAUAUUAUCAUAAGCCAUUCAAUUCAAACCAUGAUUUAUAACACAGCAAUUAGUCUCCAAUUACUCCAUUUUCAAAACCAUCUUUCAAUUUCAAGAUAAUUUUAUAAAAUCAUUUCAUUUAAACACAUUUUGUUUAUAAAACAUAAAGAUUUACCAUUUAAACUUAUUUUCCAUAAAAUCACAAAAUUAGAUAAAAACCACUUUAGACAAUUAAGACGAUAGUAAGGUUACUCACUAUUUUGGGAGUCAAAUUCCGAGUACUCCGAUUCUUGAUCCUCAAGUACUAUCUCUUUACUUUUGCCAGAAUGCUCACCACCUGGACAUAAUGCAUAAUAAGCCAUUUACUACAUUUGUGCUAAAUUGUUAUAAAACCAAUUCAAGCUCUAUACUAAUGCAUGAAAUGGGAUGUAAAUUGUUCGAAUUAUCAUCUAAACACGAUGAUCUACACAAAUUCAAUUGUGUACCUAAAUAAAACGGUAUUGGCCUAAUUCGAUCUAUCACCCGAUUAAUUGGCCAAUACGUCCAAUUCAACUCCAAAUAAUUCCAUUUUUCUUCCAAUUCUCCAAACCAUCAAACACAAGUUAAAUAACUUGAAAUAUGGCAAAAUCAUCCUCAGAUUUUCUCUUGGAAAAUUUGGCCAUGGUGGGUGCAUCAACACUAUAAUUUUUCAAGCUUGAUUCUCACACCAUAAAUUACUAAUUCCUAACCAGAUCACUUGAAAUAAAAUCAAAAUCAUCAUCAAUACUCUACAAGGAAGAUUCGGCCAAUGGAGGUUCUUGAGGGGUAUACGGUUUUUCAUGCUCAACAUUACCAUUUUCGGUUUCUACCAACACAAUUCAUUAAAUUUUAACUAAAUAACAUAAGACAUCACAAGAUUCAUCUUCAAUAUUGCCUUUAUGAAAUUCGGCCAAUGAAGAAUCCAUGAAGAACAUGUAAUUUUUCUUACUUGUUUUCCUUCCAAACAUGAUAAAUCAACUAUAAACACUAAAAUAUCUCAAAAUCUAACCAAAUAAAUCAUCAAAUCUUCUCUCUCUAAAUUCGUUCAGCCAUGAAUCCUUCAUGAUAUCUUGUGAUUCAAUCAUGGAAAAUGCAAAAGAAUGCAUGGGAAAGGUAGAUCACAAGUCAAAAUAAAGAAAUUUUACCUUUGAUUGCUUGAUUACUUGAAAUCCACCAAUUUUCUCUUGAAUUUUCACCCUAGGGUUCUUGUUCUUUCUUUUCUUCCUUUGUUCUUGCUUUGGCCAGCCAUAUGAAG
rnacentral:lncRNA from 1 species